UUACAGGAAACUAGGGGCGUAAUACCGGAUAGGAGCUCCUGCUGCAUGGUGGGGGUUGGAAAGUUUCGGCGGUUGGGGAUGGACUCGCGGCUUAUCAGCUUGUUGGUGGGGUAGUGGCUUACCAAGGCUUUGACGGGUAGCCGGCCUGAGAGGGUGACCGGCCACAUUGGGACUGAGAUACGGCCCAG
rnacentral:rRNA from 1 species